rnacentral:tRNA from 1 species
GGGCGUUUAGCUCAGUUGGGAGAGUAUCUGCUCGACAAGCAGGGGGUCACUGGUUCGAACCCGGUAACGCCCACCA